rnacentral:lncRNA from 1 species
AUUGAAAAUACAUCUUCUUUUGAGACUGCUGGUUUAAAAAAAUGUCAGACGAUACCAAUAUAGAACAAAUUAAACUACACAAAACAAUAGCAAACGGAUAGCAUACAUAAGAUUGAGCAGCUGAAACACCACAAAAACCCGAACACAAGUAAUGUUGAAGGUUAUCUUAUCGAUAAGUAACAACAAUAUGCAAGACGCAGUAAAAAAAAUGAUUUUAUAUUCAUAUAUAGAAAC